AACGAACGCUGGCGGCAUGCCUAACACAUGCAAGUCGAACGAGAUCUUCGGGUCUAGUGGCGCACGGGUGCGUAACGCGUGGGAAUCUGCCCUUUGGUUCGGAAUAACAGUUGGAAACGACUGCUAAUACCGGAUGAUGACGAAAGUCCAAAGAUUUAUCGCCAGAGGAUGAGCCCGCGUAGGAUUAGCUAGUUGGUGUGGUAAAGGGGCACCAAGGCGACGACCCUUAGCUGGUCUGAGAGGAUGAUCAGCCACACUGGGACUGAGACACGGCCCAGACUCCUACGGAAGGCAGCAGUGGGGAAUAUUGGACAAUGGGCGAAAGCCUGAUCCAACAAUGCCGCGUGAGUGAUGAAGGCCUUAGGGUUGUAAAGCUCUUUUACCCGGGAUGAUAAUGACAGUACCGGGAGAAUAAGCUCCGGCUAACUCCGUGCCAGCCGCCGCAGUAA
rnacentral:rRNA from 1 species